rnacentral:rRNA from 1 species
UACGUAGGGGGCUAGCGUUGUCCGGAAUCAUUGGGCGUAAAGCGCGUGUAGGCGGCCCGGUAAGUCCGCUGUGAAAGUCCAGGGCUCAACCCUGGGAUGCCGGUGGAUACUGUCGGGCUCGAGUCCGGAAGAGGAGUGUGGAAUUCCUGGUGUAGCGGUGAAAUGCGCAGAUAUCAGGAGGAACACCAAUGGCGAAGGCAGCUCGCUGGGACGUAACUGACGCUGAGACGCGAAAGCGUGGGGAGCAAACAGG